AUGUAGGGUAAUCUGUCUUUAACUAGGGGUAAAUUACUCUUUUUUUAAAAAAGAGAGAUUUCUAGAUAGCUUUCUCUUUAAGUCAAGCAUCCUGU
rnacentral:pre_miRNA from 1 species